CUGGGGGGCGGGAGGCAGCCUGAACCGACGUCUCAGCCGGGCCGGGCCGUUCCGUGGAGUUCCUACAGCCGGGAGGAGCCGGGGGGAUAAGGCGCCACUGCGAGGCCCAGGCCCGGCCUGUCGGGCGGGUCUCCCAGGUGCCUGAAGUCGCUGGGAAAGGGUUUGCUUAGAGCGUCUGGCCCCAUCGUGCCCCAGCGGCCAGCCUGGACCCACAGUGUAGCUAGCGCGGGGUUCUGAACCUCGCGAGGGGAGGGGUCCGGGAAGCCCACGGGGAGGAUCUGGGUGUAGACAUAAAGCAGCUGUCUGACGCCCAGUAGCUUGUUAAAACUUGGGGAACAUCGUCUUUAGACUUUCUGUUGAGUAGAAGGAACUCGAGGGCAUCUUAUAUGUGAGGGUGCUCUUUGGAGAGAAAGCCACAGGAGUCAUUGUAUUAGAAGAAGGUCUUCACUCGGGCGCUUGAAGAUAUGGUCUUUACAUCUCUUUCCAGUAUUCCAGGGGAGGGAACCCUACCUGUUUCCCUGAUAACUGACUUUUCAUGUUAUAUAUUGAUGCUCCUAUAGACAUUAUAUUGGAUCCCAGAACUUUCCAAACCUGUGGUUCCACCUAAAAUUUUAUCUGAUGAAUUGUUACUUUACUGCCUAGCUGCCAACCAGUACAGUAGUGAGUAUCCAUCUUACUUAGACUUCAGAUCCACCCAUGGCUGUAAUGGAUGAACAUGCCACCCAGCUCCCCUUCCACCACUCUGCUUGCUGGCGUGUUACAGUGCUCUCCUCUACAGUACAGGGUCCUGAACCUUGUUUCUCACUGGCUACUAAUAUGUAAUGGCUUUCGCUCUGUGCUGAUGUGUGACAGUCACCUUGUUGGCCUUCUAUGUCCGGGAAGAAUUAUAGUCACUGCCCUAAAGGGCUCAGAUCCUCAGUUUGCAGAAGGCCUGUAGUUGAACAUAAAGUGAAUUUUGAACCAUUGAGAAGACAUUCCGCUUCUCUUGAGCCAGUGGUUGAACUCAUAUUCUUGGACAACCUGCUCCAGAGGGAGACCCUCUGGUAAAUGCUGACCUAAUGUGGAUUGUUGAAGCAGUGGUGUUUACUACUAGCAGUGAAAACUUCAUUGGAAUUGUUCUCAGCUCUGAAAUGCACCAUUGACUGGAGCAGUAAUAAGCCCAAUGGAGACAGGGCUGUAAGUGUGUUCCUUCUGAAUGUUAACAGCUGGAGGUCCAUACUAUCUCCAAGGAUUUGAUGGCCUUUAAAAACUAAAGAAAAACCAGGUUGGUGGGUAAUUUUAGGUUUAUUGUAUAUAGAUUUGCAUUGGGCAAGAACGGAAUGUUAGAAAUCUGUAAUACUGUAUGCUGAUGGUAAACUUACUGUAAGGAUCUCAUUUGGGUAUCUGGAAGGUGAUAGUUCUGUUUCUUUGUUAUAUACACAGCAUGUUACAGAGAUGUGAUUUUUCUCCCCAUUAAACAGAACUAAAAGACAGUAUAUUUAUUUAAACGCAAAGCUUUUUCCCCUUUUAUGUCUCCUCAUAAACUCCAGAGACAGUCUGGAAGGCCCUCUUAAAUUUGUCAAAGAGCAGUAAAGUGUCUCACGCUCAGUUUUUCUAGCAGAUCGUAAUACUCUCAGUUGACCCUGCUGGGAUUUGAACCUGCAGUUUCUAUUAAGUUUGGUGUGUGAAGUCCAACACCUUAUCAACUAGGCUUUCCCUCUGACAUCUUGAAGCCUCCGUGUAUAUCCUUUGGACUCUGCAGCAAAGUGCAUCAGUUGUUAGUUUACUCUGAGCAUGGUAUUCUUAGAUUGAAAAGAAGUCUCUGAAGAUGUCAAAUAAAAUGUAAACAUUUUCUCCA